UCCCCAGGAGAAACAAGAUUUGGGGAUUUGAAAAUACUUCAUUACAAAUCAUGGUAAUUAUUUGACUUUGUUUAGGAUUAAUUCCCAGCUAUCCUAGUAUCCCACCCAACUAGCACCAAGUUUUUUUCUUUUCCUUCAAUAAAACUUCCUCUUCUGGGGCACCAGACCUAGGAAGUAAUGGCUCUCGUUCCCCUCUUUCACCUUUGUGGAAUAUUCUUGAUGAGCAACUGAAGGGACUUUCAAUGCCCCGAUGUGGCCAUUGAAGAGAGGUUGUCCUGAAAAGCAGCAUUCAGCAGCAGCACCUAGGUUGCUCAUGAAGCUUUGACUUCAGCCCUGGUGCCACUGAUGCUACUCAAGGCCACCUUGUACUGUUCCUCAAGGCUUGUGAGUCUUGGGAAAUGGUGUGAUUGCCCCUGCAGCUCAGCAGUCCUCAGGAUCUGCCAUGCAGUGCCUACCUCCAGGCAGUGUUCUCUUUCUGUUGACAAGGCCCUGCGUCUACCUGAGGCUGCUCUGGCUUGCAUGAUGCCUUCGUUCUUGAAGUGGCUUCAGAGAAUGCUCUCUGCAGCCUCCGUGGUCUCCAAAAACUGUGCAAAAACAUGUUCAUUUUCAGAUGCUCCA